UAAACAGCAAACGUACGUAUCGGCCGCUUGCAUUGGUGGUCAUUUAUCGGCACCAACCCGAGAUUGUGGCCGCACCGAAAGAGCGCCGUGAAAUCUGUGAUGGAAGCAGGCAAUUGGGGAUCCCGCUCCAAGAUUGCCCUCAGCUGCGUCGAUUCUUGAUUCUUGAUUCUUGAUUUGUGCUUCCUUUCCCCCGCACACAAUGUUUUCGGCCGCCCUUGCCCCUUGCUGGUUAAUCCAACGCUGCUCGUCGAUUGAGAUUGCGGCAACGAUGUCGGUAGGAUUCGUAAUCGGAGAUCAUCUUUAACUACAUGAUUCGAAGUCAGAUCAAGCAAUGGAGCCGAAUCAACUUGAUGAUCUUCUGGCGCAUGUUUUUGAAUAAUCUUCUUCAUCAAGAUGUCUUCGUACUCGGAUAGGAUGUCAUCUGAACUAAUUUGAGACUGCAUCAUGCAAAUCAUUUGGAACUAUAUACGAUAUUUGUGGAGUCUGGAAUUUUCAGCACCAUGGUCGUAUAUUAAUAGGGUCAUGACUUGAUGGUUCUUUGGUACAAGAAAGAAUUGGAUUCACACAAGAUUUGGGAGUUCUUGGAAUCUGCUUUUGUCAGACAAGUAGCAUCAUCUUAUUGCGGUGGGUAGUAUUCACUUCCUCUUUAUCUUUUACUGAUGUCGUUUUAGGCCAUGUGUUGUAGUGUAAAACACUUGUUCAGAAAGACCUAAAGUGUAAUAUCUGGAAAGUAGCUAAGCAUGUGAGGUGACUGAUACUUCUGAAACAUAGAGGCUGAAAUGAGCCUGUUAUGAGUGAGAUUGAUAUAUAUUGUGGCUUCUUCGUUGGUUUGCUUCUUUGGAAUGCCCAAUAAUGAAGCCAUAUGAGAAUAAAGAAAGUUAAGGCAAAA